rnacentral:rRNA from 1 species
CCUACGGGAGGCAGCAGUGGGGGAUAUUGCACAAUGGGGGGAACCCUGAUGCAGCGACGCCGCGUGGGUGAAGAAGCGCCUCGGCGCGUAAAGCCCUGUCAGCAGGGAAGAAAAUGACGGUACCUGAAGAAGAAGCCCCGGCUAACUACGUGCCAGCAGCCGCGGGAAUACGUAGGGGGCAAGCGUUAUCCGGAUUUACUGGGUGUAAAGGGGGCGCAGACGGCGAUGCAAGCCAGGGGUGAAAGCCCGGGGCCCAACCCCGGGACUGCUCUUGGAACUGCGUGGCUGGAGUGCAGGAGGGGCAGGCGGAAUUCCUGGUGUAGCGGUGAAAUGCGUAGAUAUCAGGAGGAACACCGGUGGCGAAGGCGGCCUGCUGGACUGCAACUGACGUUGAGGCCCGAAAGCGUGGGGAGCAAACAGGAUUAGAUACCCGAGUAGUC